GCCCGGACAGAGGCGGGAGCAAGCCCUGGGGUAUCUGGAGGGUGCGAUUCUUGGCAGAGAGGACAGCAGAACCUUCCAUGUCACUCCAUCAACAUGCACUGUAACACCAGCAGCCCUUGACCCUGAGACAAUCACACAGAACAGGGCUUCUCGACCUUGGCAUUCGGCGUUCAUGGUGGGACAGCCGUUGUGAGGCCGUCCUGUGCACUGGAGGGCGCUCAGUAGGGUCUCAGGCCUCCACCUGUCAGAUGCCAGUAGCACCUUCUGUGGCCCCCAGGAUUGUGGAAACCGAAAAUGUCUCCAGACAUUGCUAAGUGUCACCUGGGUGACAAACAUGCCCCGCUGAGAGCCACUGCCCUACAGUGUCCUCCGCAGGGUUUGGCCUGUUUCGUUUACCUGGGGCAGGGCCCGGAACAUGGGUGGCGCUAAAUAAAUCCUA